ACAACGAUGUCGUAGUAAGUCGCUCUGGAUAAGAGCGUCUGCUAAAUGACGUAAA
rfam:Salmo salar isolate Sally breed double haploid chromosome ssa01, whole genome shotgun sequence.